rnacentral:rRNA from 1 species
UACGGAGGGGGCUAGCGUUGUUCGAAGUUACUGGGCGUAAAGCGCGCGUAGGCGGGUUGGUAAGUCCGCUGUGAAAGCCCGGAGCUUAACUCCGGAGGGUCGGUGGAUACUGCCAGUCUUGAAGGUGCUAGGGGGAGAUGGAAUUACCGGUGUAGCGGUGAAAUGCGUAGAUAUCGGUAGGAACACCAGUGGCGAAGGCGGUCUCCUGGGGCAUUCUUGACGCUGAGGCGCGAAAGCUGGGGGAGCGAACGGG